UAGUAACGGCGAGUGAAGCGGGAAGAGCUCAAGCUUAAAAUCUCCGUGCAGGUUCUGCUCGGCGAAUUGUAGUCUAUGGAUGCGUUAUCAGUGUGGCCGGUCGGGGUAAGUUCCUUGGAAGAGGACAGCAUCGAGGGUGAUACUCCCGUUUGUACCUGACUGUGUUGCGCGUACGAUGCGUGUUCUUUGAGUCGCGUUGUUUGGGAAUGCAGCGCAAAGUAGGUGGUAAAUUCCAUCUAAAGCUAAAUAUUGGUGCGAGACCGAUAGCGAACAAGUACCGUGAGGGAAAGAUGAAAAGAACUUUGAAAAGAGAGUUAAAGAGUACCUGAAACUGCUGAAAGGGAACCGGGUCGUUGCCAGUGUCUAUAAUCCUUGGCAUAUUUCAUUGGUGCGAGUGUCUGUUCCGCGUGCGUGUAUCAGUUUGUUCUGUGCUGCGCGUGGUUGUGGGUGCUUGUGCCGGUGCCCUGUGCUUUGGUGGGACGUCAGAGUCAGUUCGUAUGCUGCGGGAAAUGGUCGUGCAGGAGGUAGGUCGGGGGCUUGCUCUCGGCUGUUAUAUCUGUGCGUGCCAGUAGUCGUGGCUGGGACUGAGGUGCCUACAACGUGCUUUUGAGUCUUUGGGUCGCUCUGUGCGCGCGCGUGCGGGAUAGCUUGCUAUGCCGUGUGCGUUUUGCGUGUGGAUGGCGUGCUCUCUGCAACUUGUUGCCGUUC
rnacentral:rRNA from 1 species